rnacentral:rRNA from 1 species
UACGUAGGGUGCAAGCGUUAAUCGGAAUUACUGGGCGUAAAGCGUGCGCAGGCGGUUUUGUAAGUUUGUCGUGAAAGCCCCGGGCUCAACCUGGGAAUUGCGAUGGAGACUGCAAGGCUAGAAUCUGGGCAGAGGGGGGUAGAAUUCCACGUGAUAGCAGUGAAAUGCGUAGAGAUGUGGAGGAACACCGAUGGCGAAGGCAGCCCCCUGGGUCAAGAUUGACG